GAAAUGCGAUACUUGGUGUGAAUUGCAGAAUCCCGUGAACCAUCGAGUCUUUGAACGCAAGUUGCGCCCCAAGCCGUCAGGCCGAGGGCACGCCUGCCUGGGCGUCACGCAUCGUUGCCCCCCCACCGUCUACAAACGCGUGCGGAGACUCGUGCGGGGAGCGGAGAUUGGCCUCCCGUGAGGGCGUUCCCUCGCGGUUGGCCCAAACACAGGUCCCCGGCCGAGGAAGCCGCGACUUUCGGUGGUUGUUAACAAACAGACAUGCCCUGUCGUGCUCUCCUCGUGCCUUUUGCGGCACCCUCGACCCUAAGAAGGGCCAGCGCACUCUUUGAGUAAGCUGCGCUCGCUUUGCGACCCCAGGUCAGGCGGGACUACCCGCUGAGUUUAAGC
rnacentral:misc_RNA from 1 species